UACGAAGGGGGCUAGCGUUGCUCGGAAUCACUGGGCGUAAAGCGCACGUAGGCGGAUCUUUAAGUCAGGGGUGAAACCCUGGAGCUCAACUCCAGAACUGCCUUUGAUACUGCAAAUCUCGAGUCCGGAAGAGGUGAGUGGAAUUCCUAGUGUAGAGGUGAAAUUCGUAGAUAUUAGGAAGAACACCAGUGGCGAAGGCGGCUCACUGGUCCGGUACUGACGCUGAGGUGCGAAAGCGUGGGGAGCAAACAGG
rnacentral:rRNA from 1 species